UUUCGUUGUAGCAAACCACUCGUUCCCCGUUGUGUCUGCUCUUUACCUUGCUGAGGAUGUUGAAGCUUCUCUCAGUCAAAACAGUCAAGCAAAGAAAGAAGGGAAGGCUGAUACAGAGUGGCAUCAAUAUGAAAUUGAAAAGAAGAUUGAAAGUAAGUCCGAGCACUAUGACCCCUCUGUCACUUGCAACUAAUUCUCUAAUGAAGAAGGAGAAAACGAGAAUUAACUUAUCUUUGUAUAUUUCAAAUUCAUGUUUGGAUAAUUUAACUUAAAUGUGAAUUUUAAAGUAGUGGAUAUAAAAUUUGAGUU